UGCAGGAGGUUGAGGUCGCGGCCUUCGUUUCUCCCGGGGAGGACCACGGACACGAUCGUGGUCUCUGCAGCCUCUUCUCCUCCCCCUGCCCUGUCUUCGGAAAGAGGGCUGCAGAGAGGAGGGGGGAGCCCCACCGCCCAGGACUCCGCAUUCGUCUUCCGUGUCGGCUCCGAGUGGUGGAAGAAACACUAGCAAAUGUUUCUGCUACAAAGACACAUUCUUCCCCCAGAGUUUUUUAAAGCAAACUCUGAUGUUGACCCAGCAGACUUAAAAAUUAGCUGUCAUCCGUAGUUUAUCCAUGAGGACCAGGAGAGGCGAGAUUGUGUUAGUUCCCUAGGGCCAUUGUAACAAAAACCACAGACUGAGGGUCUUCAACAAUGGGAAUAUGUUUUCUCACAGUUCUGGAGCCAGAAGUCCGAGAUCAAGGUGUUGGCAGGCUUUGGGGCCCGCUGCUUCAUGGACCUUGUCGUCUUCUCCUCGGAGCGCCCAGCACGAGGUCGGCCGAGGGAAGUUACUCAGUGAACCUCCAACAGCCUCUCAGGAUGGAGAGACGCAUGGAGUUGGUAUCAAGAGGCCUGACCAG
rnacentral:lncRNA from 1 species